rnacentral:rRNA from 1 species
UAGGGAAUCUUCGGCAAUGGACGAAAGUCUGACCGAGCAACGCCGCGUGAGUGAAGAAGGUUUUCGGAUCGUAAAACUCUGUUGUUAGAGAAGAACAAGGACGUUAGUAACUGAACGUCCCCUGACGGUAUCUAACCAGAAACCCACGGCAAACUACGUUCAAGCAGCCGCGGUAAUACGUAGGUGGCAAGCGUUGUCCGGAUUUAUUGGGCGUAAAGCGAGCGCAGGCGGUUUCUUAAGUCUGAUGUGAAAGCCCCCGGCUCAACCGGGGAGGGUCAUUGGAAACUGGGAGACUUGAGUGCAGAAGAGGAGAGUGGAAUUCCAUGUGUAGCGGUGAAAUGCGUAGAUAUAUGGAGGAACACCAGUGGCGAAGGCGGCUCUCUGGUCUGUAACUGACGCUGAGGCUCGAAAGCGUGGGGAGCAAACAGG